rnacentral:rRNA from 1 species
GUAUCGUCCCCGCCGCCAGACAUCCACCGGUCGCCUCCCACCUUGGGAUCCUCCUAGAUCCGAUCGAACCAACCACCUUCAACCAUCUCCUUCUCCUCGAAUUCAUCCAUCGGCCAAUCCCCACCGAUCUAUCCACCCACCAAUCUGCUCAUGCUAGAGCACCUCCGCGGAGCCGAGGAGCUCCACGCCUUGCCUCCGCCGCCUUCAUCGUUCUGCGCUGCCAUCACCCUGUGUCUCCGAGCACCCCGUCGCCGGAGUAGCUCGAUCCCGACCACCUCGCCGGAGCUCCUCUCCAGCACGCCGGCCACCCCGACCAUGCCCGGCCUCCCCGCUCGCCCUCCUCUCGUGUGGAUCGAGCAACAGUUCUUCCCGAGCGGAGCGCUCGUUUCAGCCGUCGACCGCGAGCCGCGGGUUACCGGAGCAGCUCCAAGCAGCGUACCCUGGCGCCCUACUCCAGACCUCGACCUCAGGUGGAGUCCAUGGCCGCUCGAACCUGAAGCUUCGUCGUCACCUCGUUCCACACCCCGCCUUCGGCUAGAAUGGACGUCCCCGCUCGGAUCCACCGCCUGCGGCCGUCCUAGACCUCAAGCCGGCUGGAUCCCGCGUCGUCCCGGCCCGGCACCGCCCUUGCCCGAUCCCGGCGUCAGCCUGAACCUGCCGCUGUCGUUCUGCUUCAGAGACGAGCAGAUUGCCUCGGCCGCUCGCGCUGAUCGGUUCCAGAUCGACCACACGCGCCUGGGCCGGCCUCCUUCCUCUCCAGCUGGGCCAAAGCCCAUGGUGAGGCCACCCCGCCGAAGCCCCUCUGUUUUUUUCUGUUGUUGGGUCAACAGAUUCGGCCCGAGAUGCCUUUUUUUUCCUGCUGAGAAUUUUAGCUAAUUUCCAGAAAACUGCUGUUUUACAGAAAUGCCCCUCUAGAUCAUGCAUAUAAUAACUCAUAAACCGUGCAUCGGAUUAAAAUGAAUUAUAUAUGAAACUUGCUUAGAAUUUUUUCUAGUUUAAUAAUUUGCAAUUUUCAUCCAUGUUUAAAAUGUUUGAAAUGAUGUUUGGUUAAAUUUGUCCCUAUGCCAUGCUAAAAUGAUUUAAUUCAUAACUUUUCAACCGUAGCUCCGAAUUAAAUAAUCUUUAUAUGUAAAUGGGGUAGAAAAAUGCCUAGUUUUACUUGGUGGCAUCAUCUUGCAUGUUUAAUAACUAUAAAAUAUGGUUUAGGGCAGAAUAGGACCAAACCUAAUAUAUGCACAUGAGGAGUUUCCGAACUUGUUGUUUUGUGGUUCCGGCCUCAUUUAAACUUGCCUAGUUAGAUAGUUUCAUUAUGUUUCACCUCUUGCCAUGUUAAUCAACAUUUAAUAUUGGUGAGUACAUAACCGAGAGGGAACUAAAUAAUUGAUGUGGUGUUCCGUCAAUAUGCAACUCGUUGUAUAUUGAGCUCCACUUAAUUUGUAGGAUUGCUUGUGCACUUUGCCAUGCCAUGCCUCAUUAACCGGACAUGCAUCAUACUUGAUUGUGCAUCAUGCCAUGUUUAUGUGGUGGUUGUUUUACUAUGAUUGUUUGCUUCUUUCCGGUGUUGCUUCUUCGGGUUGGUUCCGAUAACAUUGCGUUUGUGAGGAUCCGUUCGACUACAUCCGUUUGUCUUCUUCAUCGACUCGUUCUUCUUCCUUGCGGGAUUUCAGCUUGCAGGUGCCGAUGAGACCGUGAAGAUGACGCAACCCAGCUCAGGAGGAGCUCGAUGAAGAUCUUGUCCUUUGUGUUGUUUCGUUCUAUGUGAUCAGUAGUGGAGCCCAGUUGGGGUCGAUCGAGGACCGUGUCGCAUUUGGGGUUCUUCUUUUAUUUUGGUUCCGUAGUCGGACCUUGUUUGUAUCUGGAUGAUGUAAUGUUUUAUUCAUGUAUUGUGUGAAGUGGCGAUUGUAAGCCAACUAUGUAUCUCUUUUCCCUUAUGUAUUACAUGGGUUUGUGUGAAGAUUACCUCACUUGCGAC